rnacentral:lncRNA from 1 species
UGUAUAGUUCUAGAGAUUUGAUUUCCCUCAAAACCGACCAUAUGACUUCUCCAACAAUAUUAUGAUGUUCCCCAAGUUUUGGACUCAAUCCGAUAUCGAUUGAUCGAUGAAAUCGGACAAUUCAGGUUCAUACGAAGUUCGUUCUGAGAUGGAGUGGUUGGUGUAUUGUAUAGUUCGGGAGAUUGGAUUUCACUCAAAAC